CUAAACCGGGAUUUACAGCUGUGGAUGUGUUUAUGACUCGUUAUUACGACGGAUCUGGUCCUGAUGAGCAUCUGAUCGUCUUCAGAGACACAAAGAUCUCAGUGUUGAGCUGUUCAUCUGCAGUCUGUCAGAGAAGAGAGGAAAGAUGAGUCUCUCACACAAACAGAGGGAUAACAAGAGCUUGUGGAGAGAACUGGACUCAUUGAAACAGAAAUAUCAGCAGCAGCACAAAAUCAAACGUAAGAUUAUAACCGUUCCCGUAACUCAAACUACAUGUUUACCUCCCGCUUCCCCAACUCUGUCCUCCAUGGAGCUGGCGUUGAACUUGAGUCUGAGGA